rnacentral:lncRNA from 1 species
UUGGUUGUAUUGUGUGUUGUUGUGGUCAUAUUACGUAUCUUUUUGAUUGUUUUGUGUGAUGUUGUGGUCAUAUUGUGUUUUCUUUGGUUGUAUUGUGUGUUGUUGUGGGGUUGUUGCCCCGUGUCAGGGGCCUGUGUUCAGUCCUGCUCAGUGACUACGUAUCUCUGGCCUGUUGUUCCCCAGUAAAGGUCUGAAUACUUGACUCCUUCCUUCACCGCUGACUGAAGUGAUCUGUCAGUAGGUGUCGCUGUUUGUUUGUAACCCCUGCAGGCGGCUGUGCUCCGCUAGUGGGCGUCUUUCUCCUGUUGUUGUCCUGCAGAAGCGAUGUCCUCUCUUCUGAUGUAACUGCUAACCUGGAGUUUAUCAUCAUCAUCCUCAUCAGUCGCCAGUAACUCGCUGAGGCUAAAUCUCCCGUCAAUACAGUCGUGUGCUGGAUGCUGGAGGCGGUGACAUCCGUCCACAUGCGGAGGUGCCGACGAGCGGACACACACCGGGGGGAUGAACGCUGUGUUUGGAGGACAACGGGACGCAUAGCGCUCACCCACCAGCGUGGAACAUAAACACCAACAACGCUGCCACCUCAGCAGAGAGAGAAUCUUCCUACAAGCGACUGGUGCGCACACAGGGUCCUUUCUGGAGAACCGGGGGAAAAUACAGGACUGCAGACACUCAGAGCCGCAGAUGCCCCCUCUUCUACAGAGAAAAGACAUUCAGGAUUGGAGGAGAGGUGGUGUGCAGCCUGGGCAGAGCGUUGCAUACCAAUAACAGAAUGACUCGUUCGGUGCUACAGUCUGGAUGAGAGAGGGAGGAGGAGGAUGAUGGGUGGUGGUGGGGGUCUUGUCAUGAGAUGCCACGUCAUCGCAGUGUGUGAAAUCUAUUUUUAGCAGCGUAAACAGAGGGAUUCCAGCCCACUGAUCAUGGUGUGGCGCUGGAUGUGAAUGAACGAUACUUGUAUUAAGCCAAGUCUGUCCGCCUCCCCUGUCACUCCCCUCCCCUCCCACCUCCUCCGCCUGUCAGGGCGAAACACUGAGUCACAAAUAAACCCAUCGAGCUCUCAGUCU